rnacentral:rRNA from 1 species
GAACGCUGACAGAAUGCUAACACAUGCAAGUCGACUCGAGUCUUCGGACUUGGGUGGCGCACGGGUGAGUAACGCGUAAAGAACUUGCCUCUUAGACCGGGACAACAUCUGGAAACGGAUGCUAAUACCGGAUAUUAUGGUUUUUUCGCAUGGAGGAAUCAUGAAAGCUAGAUGCGCUAAGAGAGAGCUUUGCGUCCCAUUAGCUAGUUGGUGAGGUAACGGCCCACCAAGGCAAUGAUGGGUAGCCGGCCUGAGAGGGUGAACGGCCACAAGGGGACUGAGACACGGCCCUUACUCCUACGGGAGGCAGCAGUGGGGAAUAUUGGACAAUGGACCACAAGUCUGAUCCAGCAAUUCUGUGUGCACGAUGACGUUUUUCGGAAUGUAAAGUGCUUUCAGUCGGGAAGAAGUCAGUGACGGUACCGACAGAAGAAGCGACGGCUAAAUACGUGCCAGCAGCCGCGGUAAUACGUAUGUCGCAAGCGUUAUCCGGAUUUAUUGGGCGUAAAGCGCGUCUAGGCGGCAAGGAAAGUCUGAUGUGAAAAUGCGGAGCUCAACUCCGUAUGGCGUUGGAAACUGCCUUACUAGAGUACUGGAGAGGUAGGCGGAACUACAAGUGUAGAGGUGAAAUUCGUAGAUAUUUGUAGGAAUGCCGAUGGGGAAGCCAGCCUACUGGACAGAUACUGACGCUAAAGCGCGAAAGCGUGGGUAGCAAACAGG